rnacentral:rRNA from 1 species
AGUUGACGGGAUUAGUUGUAGCAAUAUGACUAUGAGAGUAGCGCACGGGUGCGUAACGCGUAUGCAACCUGCCUUCAUCUGGGGAAUAGCCCCUCGAAAGAGGGAUUAAUACCGCAUAACAUAGUGAGUAGGCAUCUACUUACUAUUAAAACUACGGUGGAUGAAGAUGGGCAUGCGUGACAUUAGCUAGUUGGUAGGGUAAUGGCCUACCAAGGCUACGAUGUCUAGGGGGUCUGAGAGGAUGUCCCCCCACACUGGUACUGAGAUACGGACCAGACUCCUACGGGAGGCAGCAGUAGGGAAUAUUGGUCAAUGGGCGCAAGCCUGAACCAGCCAUGCCGCGUGCAGGAUGACGGCCCUAUGGGUUGUAAACUGCUUUUGUACGGGAAGAAACCUCAUUACGUGUAAUGAGUUGACGGUACCGUGAGAAUAAGGAUCGGCUAACUUCGUGCCAGCAGCCGCGGUAAUACGAAGGAUCCUAGCGUUGUCCGGAUUUACUGGGUUUAAAGGGUGCGUAGGCGGACUUUUAAGUCAGUGGUGAAAGCCUGCAGCUUAACUGUAGAAUUGCCAUUGAGACUGAUUGUCUCGAGUGUGGUUGAGGUCACUGGAAUAUAUCAUGUAGCGGUGAAAUGCUUAGAUAUGAUAUAGAACACCAAUUGCGAAGGCAGGUGACUAAGCCAUAACUGACGCUGAUGCACGAAAGCGUGGGGAUCAAACAGGAUUAGAUACCCUGGUAGUCCACGCCCUAAACGUUGGAUACUCGACCUUAGCGAUACACAGUUAGGGUCCAAGCGAAAGCGUUAAGUAUUCCACCUGGGAAGUACGAUCGCAAGAUUGAAACUCAAAGGAAUUGACGGGG